UACGGGGGGGGCAAGCGUUGUUCGGAAUUACUGGGCGUAAAGGGUUUGUAGGUGGCUUGCUAAGUCAGACGUGAAAUCCCUCAGCUUAACUGGGGAACUGCGUCUGAUACUGGCGAGCUUGAGUGCAGGAGAGGAACGCGGAAUUCCAGGUGUAGCGGUGAAAUGCGGAGAUAUCUGGAGGAACACCGGUGGCGAAGGCGGCGUUCUGGACUGUAACUGACACUGAGAAACGAAAGCCAGGGUAGCAAACGGG
rnacentral:rRNA from 1 species